GGGCUUUGUUCCUAACGCUUUGGACCCUAUAUUAGGGAUGCCGGCUUGCCGGCUAUGGAAAUAAAUGGCCGUCGCAAUAAACCAUUCGGACCCGGGGGCAGCACCCGGCGCCUCCACCAAAAUCUCCCCG
rnacentral:tmRNA from 1 species